GCUGGCGGCAGGCCUAACACAUGCAAGUCGAGCGGCCGUAGCAAUACGGCAGCGGCAGACGGGAGAGUAACACGUGGGAACGCGCCCUUCGGUUCGGAAUAACUCAGGGAAACUUGGGCUAAUACCGGAUACGCCCUUACGGGGAAAGAUUUAUUGCCGAAGGAACGGCCCGCGUCCGAUUAGCUUGUUGGUGAGGUAACGGCUCACCAAGGCGACGAUCGGUAGCUGGUCUGAGAGGAUGACCAUGCCUCACUGGGACUGAGACACGGCCCAGACUCCUACGGGAGGCAGCAGUGGGGAAUAUUGGACAAUGGGCGCAAGCCUGAUCCAGCCAUGCCGCGUGGGUGAUGAAGGCCCUAGGGUUGUAAAGCCCUUUCAGCGGGGAAGAUAAUGACGGUACCCGCAGAAGAAGCCCCGGCUAACUUCGUGCCAGCAGCCGCGGUAAUACGAAGGGGGCUAGCGUUGCUCGGAAUUACUGGGCGUAAAGCGCACGUAGGCGGAUUGUUAAGUCGGGGGUGAAAUCCUGGAGCUCAACUCCAGAACUGCCUUCGAUACUGGCGAUCUCGAGUUCGGGAGAGGUGA
rnacentral:rRNA from 1 species